AGUUCAAGCUUCCUGGCUACCACGGCAACAACCAAAGCAGUGCAUCCUGCUCCCUGCGAGAGACAAGAGACGAGGUCAAGAGAAGAGCGGAUGUGUAGAGCGAGUGUUUGCACACCUCAAGCGGUGUGUUAUCUUCCAGGCAGUGCCACUUAUUGGUGAGGAUUCAGGCAGCGAUGAUCCACAGGGAGAUACUGAAGACCAGCAGCACCGUGCCCGGGCAUAUGGUCAUCAGGGUCUUCAUCACAAAGCGUGUGUUAAAGUGCACCUGCAAAGAGAAAAACAGUCACAUGUUAGUGAUUCCUUUCAGCCUAGAUGUCAUUCAUCACUGUCACACUAGAUGAAGCUACAUGACUUACAACAAGUUGAAAGAAGCUUUUACUGAUGGAAAGAAGUGGCUUAUAAUGCUUCUAAACUGGUAAACAUUAUAUCAUGAACAUGAAAAAUGAUACCUAUGGUUUAUAGCAGGAAUUCUCAAAUUUUAUUUGUUAGUUCUGUCAGCUCCUUUGACUAAAAAUACUUUCUUGAAGUUAAUAUCUAGAAAAAA